GUACAGCUACUAUUGGUUCAUUUAAGCUGCUGUAUUUGGAUCCUCUGUCUUAUUGGUUCCCUCCAAAAGGCAGGACUGUGAUUGCCUGAUAUUGUUCCCUCCAAAAUGUAUCCUUUCUUGCUAGUUCCCUGUCCCUAUAAAUGUAGCUUUCCUCUCCCCAGUCUUCAGUCUUGUUGCUUUAAUAAAGAAGUGUUACUAGAGAACUGUCUCCAGCAUGUUAUAUCAGGAGAGCUGAAAUCACAAACCCCACGUCACAACAGU